rnacentral:rRNA from 1 species
UGGGGAAUAUUGGACAAUGGGCGCAAGCCUGAUCCAGCCAUGCCGCGUGUGUGAAGAAGGCCUUUUGGUUGUAAAGCACUUUAAGCGAGGAGGAGGCUACUUGGAUUAAUACUCUAGGAUAGUGGACGUUACUCGCAGAAUAAGCACCGGCUAACUCUGUGCCAGCAGCCGCGGUAAUACAGAGGGUGCGAGCGUUAAUCGGAUUUACUGGGCGUAAAGCGUGCGUAGGCGGCUUUUUAAGUCGGAUGUGAAAUCCCUGAGCUUAACUUAGGAAUUGCAGUGGAUACUGGGAAGCUAGAGUAUGGGAGAGGAUGGUAGAAUUCCAGGUGUAGCGGUGAAAUGCGUAGAGAUCUGGAGGAAUACCGAUGGCGAAGGCAGCCAUCUGGCCUAAUACUGACGCUGAGGUACGAAAGCAUGGGGAGCAAACAGG